AUGCGAAACGCCCGCAAUCGCGGGCGUCUGCAGAGCGUGGCGGCCCUGCACUGACGAGCAGCCAACU
rfam:Ralstonia phage RS138 DNA, complete genome.